rnacentral:lncRNA from 1 species
GAUGUGGGGAAGGAUGUCAAGGAACCCAUGUCCCUCUCCUCACACCAAUCUGGUCCCCAAGCCUUCCACACUGCCAACCCCCACCAGCUCCUGAGUCUUGUCUCUCCAAACCCAAGCCAAGAAACAGAAGGGAUAUGUGGCAAUAGUCAUGAGGUCUGUCCUGCCUCUCUAGUGUCCUGUGCUUGCUUCCCCUUCACCUUCCCCCCAUGACUGUAAGUUUCCUGAGGCCUCCUCUGUCCCUCUGCUCCCCUCCAGCUCUCUGAUUGGCCACCUGUUUUCCUGCUGAGCCCAAAGCACUCAUCUCUUCCAUCUCUGCUUCCUUCCUGGGCUUCCUCUCAUUUGUGGAGGACGUUUUCCUGUCUAGGGGGUUCUACUUGCCCAUCCGUGGGUUUGCAAAGCCUGACAGCCCUGCAGGAUUGGCUUGGUCUUGCUGUCCCUCUGGAAGCCCAAAUUCACAACAAUGAACUCGCUUUCUUUCCCUGGAUGAGCUGCUCCCAAGUUCAACACCUCAGACCUGGCCCAACAGCGCCUCCUCCAAUGAAACCUGCUUCCCUGAUGUGGCUCUUACAUUCCCACCAUGCAAAAACUGACAGCUCGUGCAGGAGGGAGCCAUGCCGCUCUCAUCCCCUGCAUCUGCCCCGGUGCAGGGGACAGGUACAUUUGCUGCAUGAGUGAAUGAACCAACAUCCCAGCGGUUCCUGAUCACUCGUAAGACUGGUCUCUUCCCCAGGAAGCCCAGGCCCCCAGCAUCACCGAGCUGUGCACACAGGGAGAUAAUCAUCUUGGUAUCUGUCUGGCCCCAGCAGUUGGAUGGUGCUGCUAAGAAAGCCAGAGCUGCUUUGCCUGCUAUCACUGCUACUGAAAUUCGCAACUCAAGUGUUACAUAACCAAGAAAACCUGGCUUCCCCCUGAACACCCCCGACACUUAGUUUGAGAAAUGGAGAUGGAGCCAAAGUUAAGGCAAGACUCACCUGAGGAAGCC